GAGUUCUCCUGAGUCCUGACAGAUGGAAUGAGAUGUUGCAAGGACAACUUCAAAGAUCAAGGGCAACAAAGGGUAAACGGCGGGAGUAAUUAUGACUCUCUUAAGGUAGUCARAUGCCUCGUCAUCUAAUUAGUGAHGCGCAUGAAUGGAU
rnacentral:ncRNA from 1 species